rnacentral:rRNA from 1 species
UGGCGAACGGGUGAGUAACACGUGGGUAAUCUGCCCUGCACUCUGGGAUAAGCCUUGGAAACUGGGUCUAAUACUGGAUAUGACCUUUCUCCUUAUGGGGUUUGGUGGAAAGUUUUUCGGUGUAGGAUGAGCCCGCGGCCUAUCAGCUUGUUGGUGGGGUGAUGGCCUACCAAGGCGACGACGGGUAGCCGGCCUGAGAGGGUGAUCGGCCACAUUGGGACUGAGAUACGGCCCAG